rnacentral:rRNA from 1 species
UACAGGGGGUGCAAACGUUGCUCGGAAUCAUUGGGCGUAAAGCGCAUGUAGGCGGAUCCAUAAGUCGGGCGUGAAAUCCCCAGGCUCAACCUGGGAACUGCGCUCGAAACUGUGGGUCUUGAGUGUCGGAGAGGAUGGCGGAAUUCCUGGUGUAGAGGUGAAAUUCGUAGAUAUCAGGAGGAACACCGGUGGCGAAGGCGGCCAUCUGGACGACAACUGACGCUGAGAUGCGAAAGCGUGGGGAGCAAACAGGG